rnacentral:rRNA from 1 species
UGGGGAAUUUUGGACAAUGGGGGAAACCCUGAUCCAGCCAUCCCGCGUGUGCGAUGAAGGCCUUCGGGUUGUAAAGCACUUUUGGCAGGAAAGAAACGUCAUGGGUUAAUACCCCGUGAAACUGACGGUACCUGCAGAAUAAGCACCGGCUAACUACGUGCCAGCAGCCGCGGUAAUACGUAGGGUGCAAGCGUUAAUCGGAAUUACUGGGCGUAAAGCGUGCGCAGGCGGUUCGGAAAGAAAGAUGUGAAAUCCCAGAGCUCAACUUUGGAACUGCAUUUUUAACUACCGGGCUAGAGUGUGUCAGAGGGAGGUGGAAUUCCGCGCGUAGCAGUGAAAUGCGUAGAUAUGCGGAGGAACACCGAUGGAGAAGGCAGCCUCCUGGGAUAACACUGACGCUCAUGCACGAAAGCGUGGGGAGCAAACAGG